rnacentral:rRNA from 1 species
UACGUAGGGGCCUAGCGUUGUCCGGAUUUAUUGGGCGUAAAGAGCUCGUAGGCGGUUCGGUAAGUCAGGUGUGAAAUCUCCACGCUCAACGUGGAGGCGCCACCUGAAACUGCCGUGACUCGAGUCCGGUAGGGGAGUGUGGAAUUCCCGGUGUAGCGGUGAAAUGCGCAGAUAUCGGGAGGAACACCCGUAGCGAAGGGCGGUUCUCCUGGGCAUUACCGUGACGCUGAGGAGCGAAAGUGUGGGG